rnacentral:rRNA from 1 species
CGAUAAUUAAAGUUUAUUGGAAAUACCUUUAAUCCUUUCCGAACAAAAUGGUAAAACGAUAAAUACUGAUAAUAGGUUUUAACUGAAGGUAAGUUUUAUCGG